AACGAACGCUGGCGGCAUGCCUAACACAUGCAAGUCGAACGAGACCUUCGGGUCUAGUGGCGCACGGGUGCGUAACGCGUGGGAAUCUGCCCUUCGGUUGGGAAUAACUGAGAGAAAUUUCAGCUAAUACCUUAUAAUGUCUUCGGACCAAAGAUUUAUCGCCGAGGGAUGAGCCCGCGUAGGAUUAGGUAGUUGGUGGGGUAAUAGCCUACCAAGCCGACGAUCCUUAGCUGGUCUGAGAGGAUGAUCAGCCACACUGGGACUGAGACACGGCCCAGACUCCUACGGGAAGCAGCAGUGGGGAAUAUUGGACAAUGGGCGAAAGCCUGAUCCAGCAAUGCCGCGUGAGUGAUGAAGGCCUUAGGGUUGUAAAGCUCUUUUACCCGGGAUGAUAAUGACAGUACCGGGAGAAUAAGCUCCGGCUAACUCCGUG
rnacentral:rRNA from 1 species